UGUGAUCUCAACUUCUAUUUACAGCUAUUAGAGCGCUGUAAGUAGAAGUUUUAUUUAUGUUAUCGAUAAAAAAGAAAAAAGCAGGUCUGCUCAAGCAGGCCUGCUUUUUUUAUUAU
rnacentral:sRNA from 1 species